GCAACACGUGGUUGGAUGUGGCUGCAAGGAUUCCUUGGCAACAUCAACUAUAAUUACAGGACUAUGAAAGAAGAUUCAAGAAAAUAUCCAUAAAAGGUGUAGCUGGCUUAAAAGCAAAACAUUCAGCAGCCAAGAGCAACUGGGCUUUCAUGUUCUCGAGUUCGGAAUGGAGUAUCAAAAUUUUCUCUCAGCAGAGGUCAGAGGAAGCAGACAAAUUUACAGUAGAAUCUCAUCACUUGUGCAUAUUUCAGAGGACAGAUAACUCCAUGCCUUGAAUCAACAGCUUGAAGGUGACUGAAAAUAUAAAUAGUAAUUGGAAUGUUGAGUUAACCACAUUAAUUCUUUGGGUAUAUACCCAGGAACGGGAUUGCUGGCUCAGACGGCUUGUCUACUGGACUGAAUUUAAACACUGUUUGCUGUAUGGUUACUGCAUCUGAAGUAGAGAAAAAUGUUUUUCCUACCAGGUAUGAUGGCUCAUGCCUGUAAUCUCAGAACUUUGGGAGCCAAGGUAGUUGGAUCACCUGAAGUCAGGAGUUCAAGACCAGCCUGGCCAACAUGUGUUUGCCUGACAUGUUUGGAGAUGGUUGACAUCAACUUUGUGACUGAAGGAGAACACUUCUGCCACUUAAUGACUGGAAAAUGCCUCUGCUCCUGUAGGAGAACUGGAGCCAGAUGUGAUGCUGAAUGCAGGCCGGGCCUGUAUGGACCUAACUGCGCUCUCAACCGUCAAUGUGGUCACAAAGCUCACUACAGCCCUCUCAAUGGGAGCUGCUCUUGCCUUUUUAAGACAAUGGGCCCAACCUGUGAGGAAAGUAGUUCAGAUGAUCCUCAAUAACCAAACACUAACAACUUUUCAGUUGGAGGUAUUUAAAUUUGGACGUAAGAACUGCUUUUCAGUUCAGGUUGGACUACACUGAAAUAUUCACACCUAUUCACUGAAGACUUCAGUGGCCAUUAAAUAACUGGAUCCUCUUUGGAAAUGUCUAGAAUUUCAUCUAUUUAUUCUCAGUAUCCUUCCUCAUAACAAACUCUGCUCCGGAUUGCUAAUGUAUUGUGUUUCAAACAUGACUUUGGUGUGGGAGACUAUAAAGACUUUAGCAACAUAAUGACGUGCACUUUUAUAGUGAAACAUCAAAAUGUUUAGUGUGUUUUCUCCGUCACUGGCCAGCAGACAGGAAAAAGGUGGGUAGCAGUGACCGAGGCCAGGACUUAGCCUACUCUGGGGGACACAAAUUUCCUUUAAAUCAGGACCUACUAGCAAUCAGGCUUUUAAUUCACAUUGGUAAUCCUGAUUCACAUUGUUCAUCAUUUAGGACAACUAUCUUAGGCCAUUUAUGAGCCUAAGAUGAUCACUGUGAUAAGCCCAAGAAAGAUACAGCAAUAAAUACUACUUGAUGUUUGCUCUCA
rnacentral:lncRNA from 13 species